rnacentral:rRNA from 1 species
UAAGUAAGCUUUGAUCCAGAGAUUUCCGAAUGGGGAAACCCAGCAUGAGUUAUGUCAUGUUAUCGAUAUGUGAAUACAUAGCAUAUCAGAAGGCACACCCGGAGAACUGAAACAUCUUAGUACCCGGAGGAAGAGAAAGAAAAUUCGAUUCCCUUAGUAGCGGCGAGCGAAACGGGAAGAGCCCAAACCAACAAGCUUGCUUGUUGGGGUUGUAGGACACUCUAUACGGAGUUACAAAGGACGACAUUAGACGAAUCAUCUGGAAAGAUGAAUCAAAGAAGGUAAUAAUCCUGUAGUCGAAAAUGUUGUCUCUCUUGAGUGGAUCCUGAGUACGACGGAGCACGUGAAAUUCCGUCGGAAUCUGGGAGGACCAUCUCCUAAGGCUAAAUACUCUCUAGUGACCGAUAGUGAACCAGUACCGUGAGGGAAAGGUGAAAAGCACCCCGGAAGGGGAGUGAAAUAGAACCUGAAACCGUGUGCUUACAAGUAGUCAGAGCCCGUUAAUGGGUGAUGGCGUGCCUUUUGUAGAAUG